GCGGAGGAUGGGCUGCAGGAAGUGAAUUUUGAGGACUUCCCGCCCGCCGGCCUGUCUUGUGAGCUUUGCUGCCUGGAGUAGUUCAGCGCGGUGGGCACUGGUUGCCACCUGACCUGUUAGCCUCCUCCGUGGCGGUCUCCUGCCCGCUCCGGUCCCCGAGGCUGGCGUUUGUGCAGACGGGGCUACUAGGCUUGUCACCGCCGGGAAGCCUGAAUCCGGAUCCUCGCACCGGCCCUCUCAGUUAAGCAGCAACUAGCGCAUCUCUGAUUAGUUUACAUCCAACCUUCUUAUUGGGGAAUAUGAGUUAUUUUCUGAAACACAAAACGAAGGUUUCCCGGUGCCUUUCUAAUGCAUCAUUGUAUCUGGAGACUUUUCUCAAUUUGGAACAAAUUCGAUCAUCCUUUAUGAGCCUUCCCAUCAUGAUGCCAUGGUAUAGCUGCUCCCGGGAAAUGUCAUUUUCUGCAGUUGACUCAUUGGUUUCUAUUUUACUCUUCAUGGCUAAAAGAAAUAAAAAAUGCAGAUAACUCAUA